rnacentral:rRNA from 1 species
GAUGAACGCUGGCGGCGUGCCUAAUACAUGCAAGUCGAGCGAACAGACGAGAGUGCUUGCACUCUCUGACGCUAGCGGCGGACGGGUGAGUAACACGUGGGUAACCUACCUAUAAGACUGGGAUAACUUCGGGAAACCGGAGCUAAUACCGGAUAAUAUUUAGCUUCGCAUGAAGCAAUAGUGAAAGACGGUUCUGCUGUCACUUAUAGAUGGACCCGCGGUGUAUUAGCUAGUUGGUGAGGUAACGGCUCACCAAGGCAACGAUACAUAGCCGACCUGAGAGGGUGAUCGGCCACACUGGGACUGAGACACGGCCCAGACUCCUACGGGAGGCAGCAGUAGGGAAUCUUCCGCAAUGGACGAAAGUCUGACGGAGCAAUGCCGCGUGAGUGAAGAAGGUUUUCGGAUCGUAAAACUCUGUUGUAAGGGAAGAACAAGUACGUUAGUAACUGAACGUACCUUGACGGUACCUUACCAGAAAGCCACGGCUAACUACGUG